GCCGGACGAGGCGCCGGACGGGCGCGCCCUCACCUGAGGCGCGGGCGCACCCUGGCCCGGGGGGACGGGCGGGCCGUACGACCGGCCGCCCGGUCC
rnacentral:tRNA from 1 species